rnacentral:rRNA from 1 species
UACGUAGGGUCCGAGCGUUGUCCGGAAUUAUUGGGCGUAAAGGGCUCGUAGGCGGUUCGUCACGUCGGGAGUGAAAACUCGGAGCUCAACUUCGAGCCUGCUUCCGAUACGGGCAGACUAGAGGUAGGCAGGGGAGAGCGGAACUCCUGGUGUAGCGGUGGAAUGCGCAGAUAUCAGGAAGAACACCGGUGGCGAAGGCGGGUCUCUGGGCAACAACUGACGCUGAGGAGCGAAAGCGUGGGGAGCGAACAGG